rnacentral:lncRNA from 1 species
CUGUCAUCUGGCAGCUCAACACUCCAGAUCUGUUAUAUUCAUAUAGGCCAAGUUUGCUCCCAGAUAUUUCAGCACAAGGAGCAGCUUUGUGCCAAAUAGUAGAGCAAGAAUUGAUAUGGAAGGAAGUUAAAAUCUAAGUGCUCCUUCAGUGGCAUAUUUACGUGGCUCAAGGGAUCAUCAGGACAACUUAUGAAGCUGCAGCCAAAUUAAAUUUUG